rnacentral:rRNA from 1 species
GACGAACGCUGGCGGCGUGCUUAACACAUGCAAGUCGAACGGAAAGGCCCUGCUUUUGUGGGGUGCUCGAGUGGCGAACGGGUGAGUAACACGUGAGUAACCUGCCCUUGACUUUGGGAUAACUUCAGGAAACUGGGGCUAAUACCGGUUAGGAGCUCCUGCUGCAUGGUGGGGGUUGGAAAGUUUCGGCGGUUGGGGAUGGACUCGCGGCUUAUCAGCUUGUUGGUGGGGUAGUGGCUUACCAAGGCUUUGACGGGUAGCCGGCCUGAGAGGGUGACCGGCCACAUUGGGACUGAGAUACGGCCCAGACUCCUACGGGAGGCAGCAGUGGGGAAUAUUGCACAAUGGGCGGAAGCCUGAUGCAGCAACGCCGCGUGCGGGAUGACGGCCUUCGGGUUGUAAACCGCUUUCGCCUGUGACGAAGCGUAAGUGACGGUAAUGGGUAAAGAAGCACCGGCUAACUACGUG